rnacentral:lncRNA from 1 species
AAUUUUAAAGAAAUUACCCCUUUCUGAAUAUAGUCUCUGAUAAAAUGAUGUUUUUUUUUCUUUAUGUGCUUUUCUCUGGAAUGUAGAAUAGGGUUCUUACUUAAGCAUAUGGCAGCAGUAUUUGUAACACCCCAAAAUUUGCCCUCCUCAUUCAUGCAUUCAUUUAGCAUUUCAUAUUGCAUUUCAUCAUGUCAAUCAGAAUUAGAUCCGAAAAAAAAAAAACGAAAAAAAAAUAAUAAUAAUAAGUUUUUACAAAAAAA